CUUAAGACUCUGUCCCUGAAAAGUUGUGACCACCAGUAAACUAAUCUUUUACCUGGAGAAAGUAUAUAUGACUCUGAUGUAAUUAAAUUGAACAUUUUGUGCAGUAGUAGAACAGAAAUAGCAGGAAAAAAAAAGCCAAGCCAAUUAAUGAAAUGGUUAAUAAUUGUUAUGCUUCUUUUUCUGGAAAUCCGAAUUGUUUACUAAAUGUCAAAUCUGUCAAUAAUUGUCCAUUCAAUACGAACGAAAAACGUCCUAUCUAGUAACCAAU